CACGUAGGGUGCGAGCGUUGUCCGGAAUUAUUGGGCGUAAAGAGCUCGUAGGCGGUGUGUCGCGUCGGCCGUGAAAACUUGGGGCUUAACUCUGAGCGUGCGGUCGAUACGGGCAUCACUUGAGUUCGGCAGGGGAGACUGGAAUUCCUGGUGUAGCGGUGAAAUGCGCAGAUAUCAGGAGGAACACCGGUGGCGAAGGCGGCUCUCUGGGACGGUACUGACGCUGAGACGCGAAAGCGUGGGGAGCGAACAGG
rnacentral:rRNA from 1 species